rnacentral:rRNA from 1 species
AGUGAACGCUGGCGGUAGGCCUAACACAUGCAAGUCGAACGGCAGCACAGGAGAGCUUGCUCUCUGGGUGGCGAGUGGCGGACGGGUGAGGAAUACAUCGGAAUCUACUCUGUCGUGGGGGAUAACGUAGGGAAACUUACGCUAAUACCGCAUACGACCUACGGGUGAAAGCAGGGGAUCUUCGGACCUUGCGCGGUUGAAUGAGCCGAUGUCGGAUUAGCUAGUUGGCGGGGUAAAGGCCCACCAAGGCGACGAUCCGUAGCUGGUCUGAGAGGAUGAUCAGCCACACUGGAACUGAGACACGGUCCAGACUCCUACGGGAGGCAGCAGUGGGGAAUAUUGGACAAUGGGCGCAAGCCUGAUCCAGCCAUACCGCGUGGGUGAAGAAGGCCCUCGGGUUGUAAAGCCCUUUUGUUGGGAAAGAAAUCCAGCUGGCUAAUACCCGGUUGGGAUGACGGUACCCAAAGAAUAAGCACCGGCUAACUUCGUGCCAGCCGCCGCGGUAA